CCUACGGGUGGCAGCAGUGAGGAAUAUUGGUCAAUGGACGCAAGUCUGAACCAGCCAUGCCGCGUGCAGGAAGACGGCUCUAUGAGUUGUAAACUGCUUUUGUACGAGGGUAAACGCAGAUACGCGUAUCUGUCUGAAAGUAUCGUACGAAUAAGGAUCGGCUAACCCCGUGCCAGCAGCCGCGGUAAUACGGAGGAUUAAAGCGUUACCCGGAUUUUAUGGGUUUUAAGGGUGCGUAGGCGGUCGGAUAAGUUAGAGGUGAAAUCCCGGGGGUCAACUUCGGAAUUGCCUCGGAUACUGGUCAGCUAGAGAGUAGUUGCGGUAGGCGGAAUGUAUGGUGUAGCGGUGAAAUGCUUAGAGAUCAUACAGAACACCGAUUGCGAAGGCAGCUUACCAAGCUACUUCUGACGUUGAGGCACGAAAGCGUGGGGAGCAAACAGGAUUAGAUACCCUAGUAGUC
rnacentral:rRNA from 1 species